CUGGCUCAGGACGAACGCUGGCGGCGUGCCUAAUACAUGCAAGUCGAGCGGAGAUUUGAAAAGCUUGCUUUUCAAAUCUUAGCGGCGGACGGGUGAGUAACACGUGGGCAACCUGCCCUUGAGACGGGGAUAACUCCGGGAAACCGGAGCUAAUACCGGAUAACACAUAUCUUCGCAUGAUGAUAUGUUAGAAGGUGGCUUUUAGCUACCACUCAAGGAUGGGCCCGCGGCGCAUUAGCUAGUUGGUGAGGUAACGGCUCACCAAGGCGACGAUGCGUAGCCGACCUGAGAGGGUGAUCGGCCACACUGGGACUGAGACACGGCCCAGACUCCUACGGGAGGCAGCAGUAGGGAAUCUUCCGCAAUGGACGAAAGUCUGACGGAGCAACGCCGCGUGAGUGAUGAAGGUUUUCGGAUCGUAAAGCUCUGUUGUUAGGGAAGAACAAGUACCUGUUGAAUAAGCAGGUACCUUGACGGUACCUAACCAGAAAGCCACGGCUAACUACGUGCCAGCAGCCGCGGUAAUACGUAGGUGGCAAGCGUUGUCCGGAAUUAUUGGGCGUAAAGCGCGCGCAGGCGGUUCCUUAAGUCUGAUGUGAAAGCCCACGGCUCAACCGUGGAGGGUCAUUGGAAACUGGGGAA
rnacentral:rRNA from 1 species